CAAAGGUAAACAUUGGCCUGCCUGCGUGUCCUUCGAGCCUUGGGUGCCGCAGGUAAACGUUUGACAAGAGGCAGAGGAAGGUGGUGGGGUCACGAGGGAGUGGUUCAGCUCUUCAUAGCGGAGUCUCUUGGCCUCUUGGUACAGCCUCACUGCAUGCCUCCCAGCCCGCUGUGUUCUGAGCAGGGCAGUUAAAAGCCCAUGCAUGUGAGCGUUGCCCCAGAGCCAGCCGCUGCCGCUGUAUAAUGCUGGACAGACACUCGGCUGCCCUCCACGCACCACCACAAGCAAGCAGUCAUGAAUUUCCGUCAGAGAAUGGCCUGGCUGUGUCUGGCCAUCUACCUCGCUUCCUCGUUCGCUGCUGCCUAUUAUUUUCUUGAUAUCGCCGACCAGUUUGCCGAGUUCUCCGUCGAGCAUUCCAAGGUGCACCAGGCAGCGGACACCAAUGUUCCCGCGUGGAAGUUCUGGCACCACAUUGGGGAUAUUCCAUUCCACAUCUUGGUGCUCAUUCUGGCCAUUCCCUAUUUACAGGUCUUUGCAGCUCUCUUUUACUGUACCCUCCCGACAGUUGAUAAAAAUGUCAACAAGUGCCUUAUACCUGUCAUAGGGUGGAUGUACAUGUUUCAGAAGGUCUUUUCCCUGUUUAAAAGUCAUGAACACUUGGAUGUGAGGAAGGAAAACCAGUAUCACAGUGUUAGUAUAUCAUGACUGUUGUUUCUUGCCUUAACCCGGUAGCAGCGAUGAGCCAGAUUUGUGGCUUUACCGUGCACCAGUGACGGGCUAAAUUUUUGCCGUGAUAUAAACCCCCAAAAAUAGAUGAUGCAUAGACUGAUCACAAAUGCGUUGAUAUAUAUUAUGAAGUGGUUUGCGUGAGUAAUGAUUUUUUUCUUAUUAUUUCGCUUAGAGGGGCCUUUAAGAAACAUGAUCCCCGCAGCUACCGGGUUAAGCUGUGUUUGGUAAUCGUUUUAGUGCUGUAUAUAUGCCAAAAUUUCCUCUGUGAUUCUUCUAGGGCAUAAUGUUUUUUCUUCUGUUUUGUGGUUGAGUUCUUGAAUGAGAUUUUAACAUGUUUCAAGUACUCUUUCACUUGGGUUCUCUUUUGUCUGGGAAAAACGAGAUUAUCAUAUAUUUUUUAAUGAAAUGUUACAAAUAUUUAGAUAGUGUUACUGAUCUCUCUUAGAACAAAAAACGUUUCAGCCUUGAUAUACACAUUGUCUAACUUCACAACUCAGAACCAUCCAAUUUAUGUCCAUCACAAUCAUAACAUAAUUUUUGAGGUGCUCACGUCGUAGAGAAUCAUGAUAUCAGGCUUGGGAAUUCUUUGAUUUUGCUCAUCAUAAUUUUGUCACUGAUUAUCCAAGGCAAGCUGUCUCUUCAUUAAUGUAUCUUGAUGAAUGGAAGCACCUUGGUUAUGUCAGUCACUCGUUUUACCAAUAUGCAAUUCUCAUUAUACUACAGACAAUGAGGUGUGAUAUGAGCCGGGAAGUCACUGAUAGAUUCAUUAUGUGCUGCAACAUCAUGAGGGCAAGCAGGUCUUCAUCACACUUCCACAAUAUGUUACACUGCACAUUACACAUCAUACUUGUCAGUGGAUGAGUGGAACAGGCUUGGCAGUCAUGUCGUGAGUGCCAAUACGCUAGAUACAUUAAAAAAGAUGAGGUAAAUUUGUGGUUAGGUGGGGUUAGGUUCACAGGAGCUACCGGCCUCUUGCAGACACCUUAUGCUUUGGCUGCAAUGAGUGAGGGACAGUGGGGAUAAGCAAGCCUUUAGGACUGCUUUUCUUUUACUCAGCUUAAUUACAGCACCGACAAGAAGGCCCUGACUCCUCGUACAUUAGUCAGGCCUUGAGUCACGGCUGAAAUAUCACUUUGGAGAAACUACAUCCUUAACCCGUCCACUGCGAUUGGCACGGAGUUCACCUUCACUGGUAGCCUGGUAACAUAUACUCCCAGGUCUUUCUGUGCCUCUGUGGUGGAUAGUGGAGUGUUUCCCAUGUGGUAUUGGUAUGCUGUAUAUCCCCUCCCAAGGUGCAUAACUUCAUUUUUCUUCAUUGAAUUGUAGCAGCCACUUCUUGUUCUGCUCCUGUAGCUUGGUGAUGUAUUCUUGUAGGAAAUCCAUAGUCAAGGGGUUAAGUUAGGAUUGCAUCAGAUAUUUAGCGUAAUAGAGACACACAUCAUCCCAUAUACAUCUUUUAUCAUCACGAAGCAGGCUCCGUAAUGAAAGUCUUAUGCAUACAUGUAUUUGUGGUUGUGAUAGUUUUUGCCUUACUCGGCAGGGCGGUCCAUUGCUCAGCCUCACGUGGGCUGGGCGGGGGUCUGCCAUAGUGACUCAAAUUGUUUGCUGCCUCUACGGCCUAUUUUGACUUUGGGGCAUGAGGCGAAAGGUGACGGCCAGGGAGUGCGAUAUGUGAUCCAGUCUACUUGUCUCCUGUCCCUGAGUUACCAUAAAUAGCCAUGUAAAAGGAGUAUAUGUAACCCACCUAAAAAGUAAUGGUGGUAGUGGUAACCUAGAAAAGUAGUAAAGUAGGAACCACAUAGGAAACCAGUAUCUGAAAUUCAACCUCCUGAGCUGUACCUUAAAAUCUUUGUUUCAGUAUUUGACUUUUACACGAGUACCGGUAUGUAUGUUAUUGUGAUGUCCCUCCUCCUCCUCCUGCUGUCAUCCUUAAGGGGCUAUUACACUGGGCAAACUUUCCGUGGAUCUUCAGUCAAACCACGAUUUCCGCUGGCGUGGUUCUCAUAUUUCCGUGGUUUUCUGACAUGUCCACAAUCAUCCAAAGCUACGGUAGAUUUCACUAAGGACGACGGUAUUACUCACCAUCAUCAGCAGCAGCAAUAACAAGAAACAAAUGAGAACCACGCCAGCGGAUAUCGUGGUUUGACUGAAGAUCCACGGAAAAUUUGCCCAGUGUAAUAGCCCCUUUGCAGCCUCCAUUCCUUCUCUCCUACUCCAAUCCUUCUUAAAUAUUGUUGUUGGCACUGUCCUCACUAAUCUGUUACUUUGCACGAUACGGAGGUGUUGGAAAAUAAGGUAAUGUUGAUUGGUUUCUCAUUAGUUACAAUGAAGAAAACUGGGGUGUUGAAAGAGGCAAUUAAUACAUACCUAGUCAUGACACUGUUCCAAGGCAGCUGUAAUUCUAAGGUUCAGUUAAUGGGAUGGCAGUAUGCAAGUCCGCCCUUUAAUCAACGAAACCUGAUGUAGCGACUCGUUUUAGGGAAAGGCAGUUGUCGUUUCAUCGUAUUUUUAGCUUUUUUUUCGAGUGUGCUCAGUAGUUGUGUGAUAUUUUUGAUGUACAACUUACCUAACUUAACCUAACCUAACCUAAACCUAACCUAAACCUAACCUAACCUAACCUGACCUAACUGAACCUAAACCUCACCUAACCUAACCUAACUUAACCUAAACCUAAUCUAACCUUAACCUAACCUAACCUAAACCUAACCUAAACUUAACCUAAACUUAACCUAACUUAACCUAAACCUAACCUAACCUAAACCUAACCUAACCUAACAACACUAUCAUGCCCCCAUCAGCCACCUUAUUUAUGAAGUUCACCAAUCAUAUUAGACCAUCACUGGGGUUUGUGGCAUGGUUGGCGGGAUGUGAGUAGAGCGUUUCCUGUGCAUACAAGAGGCCUUUAUUCAACACCUGGUCCGCCUGAGGAUAGGUCGGCUCACUUAUUCACGAGUAAACCAAAUAUUAGUUUUGUUCUAUAUGAGUUUUAUGAGGUGUGGGUUUUAGUUAAGCUUUGCAGUGUUUGUGUUUAAUGUGAAUGAAUAAUAUUUUGUCUUUAGUUGGGUAAGGAUUUUAUGUCAUGUGAUGAAACUUUAACCCCUAAAGGACGCAGAAAAAUCUAAAGGAUGACCCCGGAAAUGCAAAAAUCAGCUGUGUUUUAAGUACAAUUUUCGUAAAAGAAUGUGUGGAACUUGCUACAAUCGUGAAUCAUAGUGAAACAACAUAUAAUAACAAUUAGAAAUCAACAAUUAAGGUCUACGUGUGCACAUGAGAUAGAGGACUUGGCUAUGUGUGCAAAAUUGCUUGUAUAUUCCGAAGCCAAAAAAAAGAAAAACAACAACUACCCAUCGCAACUAACCAUAUGACUCAAGCCCAUUUUUUAAUCAUUUUGGGUUCUCAGUUCGCUUGUUUAACCCGGUAGCAGCGACGGGCCAAAUUUGUGCCAUGAUAUAAACCCCCCAAAAAUAGAUGAUGAAUAAACUGAUCACAAAUGCUUUGAUAUGUUUUAUGAAAUGGUUUGUGCGAGUGAUGAUUUUUACUCAUUUUUCUCGCUUAGAGGGACCAUUAAGAAACAUGGUCCCCGCUGCUACCGGGUUAAAAAGCUAAUCGUAUAAGUUCCUGGGAUUGUCAUGGGCUGUUUUGUGGAAAUACAAGAAAAAAUGGAGAAGAAAAAUGGAGAAAAUACAAGAAAAAUGGUGAAAAUACAAGAAAAAAUGGAGAAAAUACAAGAAAAAAUGGUGAAAAUACAAGAAAAAAUGGAGAAAAUACAAGAAAAAAUGGUGAAAAUACAAGAAAAAUGGUGAAAAUACAAGAAAAAAUGGUGAAAAUACAAGAAAAAAUGGUGAAAAUACAAGAAAAAAUGGUGAAAAUACAAGAAAAAAUGGUGAAAUACAAGAAAAAAUGGAGAAAAUACAAGAAAAAAUGGUGAAAAUACAAGAAAAAAUGGUGAAAAUACAAGAAAAAAUGGAGAAAAUACAAGAAAAAAUGGAGAAAAUACAAGAAAAAAUGGUGAAAAUACAAGAAAAAAUGGAGAAAAUACAAGAAAAAAUGGUGAAAAUACAAGAAAAAUGGUGAAAAUAGAGAAAACUGAGCCGGCAACACGCGGAACACUCCUUUUAUGGAACCCACCAAAAUUUCCGGUUGCUGGUCACUCGUCCUUCAGGGGUUUAGUGGAGUGGUAAUACUUGAAUGUGUAAUCCCACUGGCUCGGAGCUCAGUAUAAUAUUUUGUUAAUGUUAAUGUAAAGCACCUAAUGUCUGUGAGUAGUUUAGUGAGGUCAGAUGUUGUGGUUUAGAGUAGAAGAGUGAAAUUAUAGUCGUGUGAUGUAGAAAAGUAUAGUGUAGUGAAGUGUACCAUAGCAUAGCAGUGUAGGAGAGUUCACCAUCGCAUAGUGUAAUGAGUUUAACAUAGCAUAGCAUAGUGGAGUAGUGUACCAUAGGAGAAGUGUAGAUAACAUGGUGUAGUGUUGUGUAGUGAGUGUAAAGUGUACCAUAGCAUAGUGUAGCAUAGAGUUGUGCUUUUGUGAUGACUUCAGGUGCCUUUUUUAACCUAUCAUAAGUUUUUAAUGUUUUUUCAACUUACGACAUUUUACUUCUUGCUUUUUGGUUCCUUUCUGCUAUAAAUAUCAUGUCCGUUUUGGCUCAGCACGAUUCAUCUUGGUCAGGCUUUCAAUCCCCCCCCUCUUUUUUUGUUUACGUUCUGUCUAUGGCGCUGGUAGGCUUUCUCGGUGGGGGCCUAAUCGCCGACCCCAGUCCAUCAUGGCACAGGCAAGCGUUUAAAGUGGUGCCAUCUCGCUUAUUAUCGCCCAUCUGUCCAAGAGAAGGCAGCUGCAGAAGUGGUCCAUGGUGUAAAUUGUCAGUGAAGGGUGGCAAUGCAGCUCUCCCCUCCCACUGCCAUUUAUUCAUUGGGUGAUGUAGUACUACCGACAUUGAUGGAAAAUUGAGGUGUCCAGCGAGAAGGGAUGUAAGGGACAAAGCCAUGUUCUUUUAGUCUGCACUGGGAGAGUCAGGCAAGGAAGAACAAGAGACAAGUUGCAAGGGAAAAGUGACCUUGUAUAUGGUGUACCGAGGGUCGAUUUUCCCCCUAGCAACUUAUAUUUUUUUCCUGGGAUGCGUGAACUUGAAAAUGGCUCUGUCCCUUACACCCUUUCUCCUCCAGGCACCUCAACUGAUGCUAUCCAUGUUCUUGCUCUGGUAAUGUCUAGUGAGCAGAGGGAGGGAUGGAGCAGUGCUAUCCAGUCUACAGUUAACCAGUCUAAAUGUGUCAGGCACUUAACCCAUCCGCUGUGAUUGGCAUGGAUUUGGCCUUCACUGGUAGCCUGGUGACAUGUACUCCCAGGUCUUUCUCUGCCGCUGUGGUGGAUAGUGGAGUGUUUCCCAUGUGGUAUUGGUAUGCUGGAUAUCCCCUCUCAAGGUGCAUGACUUCACAUUUUUCUUCAUUGAAUUGUAGCAGCCACUUUUUGUUCCAUCCCUGCAGCUUGAUGUCUUCUGGUAGGAAAUCCUCAGUCAAGGGGUUAAGCUAUUGUCUGUAUCCCAUAUCAUAAAGGGAACUUGUUUUUCAGGGGACUCUUAUUCUUCAGUGUUAUGUGUUCUUGUACUUGUUUGUCCGUUCCUGUGCACUUUAGUUAUACAGGUUCAAAAUUGUGUGUCUGAGUUUACUAUGUAGAGUGGUCUGUUUGAUUUCACUUCUGUGUUUGUCAUGUUUGUGAGUUACGUACUUGCCUGCCAGUGGUCUAUUUGUGCUUUACAUCAGAAGGAUUUUAAAGAAUGUUAACUUGUGCUCUUUAGUUUCACAGGUUCAAAAUUGUGUGUCUGAGUUUACUAUGUAGUGUGGUCUGUUUCAUUUCACUUCUAUGUUUGUGAGUUACCCACUUGCCCGCCAGUGGUCUAUUUGUGCUUUGCAUCAGAAGGGUAUUGAAGAAUGUAAACUCAUUUUGCUUCAGUAUUCAAAUCAUUCAGUAAUGGUUUAACCUUUGUGUGGUUGUGUUUAUUUUUAAGUUCCAGUGCUUGCAGAUGUUUGAUUCAGAUUCUUUUUAUUUCUAAGCGGUUUAAGCGAAUUAAGGAGUGUUACCUUUUUUUAGGAAGUUUGAGCAGGGUUACUGAAUAAAAAUGGGACCAGACUAUAUUGUGACAACUGGUUUCAGACGGGGAAAAUAUGAUUAUUUCUCUCGCUAUGUGUUACCUCCAGCUGUGACGAGUUUUAUUCUUGGAAGGUCUCUGAGAGGGUCUUGUUGGUAUAAUCAGAAUAAAUUAUUUAAGUGGU